GGCUUCUCAUUGCCUGAAGCUGGACGAGUCAGCCACUGGGAGGUCUAGGCUUGGUCUCUAGCCCAGGCUCAGCCUCAGCCUUCCAGUGUGCAUCUUCCUCUCUGGGUUUCAGUUUUCCUACCUGUAACCUAAGUUGGACUAGAACAUUUCCAAGUUCCUCCCAGCCCUGUAAAUUCUAUCUUUGAUACUUAUCUUAGAUCUUUACAAGGGCUUAGCAGUCUCCUAAAAUAAGGGAAGAGAGUUGCUUCUACUCUAGCAAAAAAAAAGUUGGGGACAGAUGAAGGAAGAAUGGGUGAAAUGUUGGAAAUUUGUGAAGCUGAGUGAGAAGCAGGUGGGGGUUCAUUAUGCUACUUUCACCAUUUUGUGUAACUUAAAAAUUUUCCCUGAUAAAAAAAGUUUUUAUAAAAUAGAAGUUCCAUUGAAUUUGAGUGUCUUUACAGCCUUUGUUUUCUGGUACCCUUGGGAGGCAUCCAUCCCGUUUAAUAAAAGGUACCUUCCACAGGAAACUCCCUUCCUUUGUCAUCUUUGGUAUCCCCAUCUCCAUCUUCCACAACAGACAGUUUGAACAGCCGCACCACUCCAGCAUCAGGACAGUUUGGGGGGGUUUCCAGAAUCUUCUAUUCCCACUUCCCAUUUCUCAAAUCAUUUGACCUGUCGUACGUACAAAGUAAAAAGUCCUAGACAAGAGACAGGAGAGGAUUU
rnacentral:lncRNA from 1 species